AUUGGACGCUGGCUGCAGGCCUAACACAUGCAAGUCGAGCGAGCGGAGGACGGAUGAGUAAUGUAUGGGGACUUCCCGAUAGAGAGGGAUAAAUACUGGAAAGGGUGGCUAAUACCGCAUACUAUCGGAUAACCCAUAUGGGAUUAGCUAGUAGGUGGGGUAAAGGCUCACUUAGGCGACGAUCUCUAGAUGGUCUGAGAGGAUGAUCAGCCACACUGGGACUGAGACACGGUCCAGCCUCCUACGGAGGCAGCAGGGGGGAAUAUUGCACAAUGGGCGCAAGCCUGAUGCAGCCAUGCCGCGUGUAUGAAGAAGGCCUUAGGGUUGUAAAGUAUUUUCAGCGGGGAGGCGUUACCCGCAGAAGAAGCACCGGCUAACUACGUGCCAGCAGCCGCGGUAAUUC
rnacentral:rRNA from 1 species